rnacentral:tRNA from 1 species
GCGCUCGUAGCUCAUUUGGAUAGAGUACAGCCCUCCGAAGGCUGGGGUGGUGGGUUCGAAUCCCGCCGAGCGCACCA